GAUAAACGCUAGCGGCAGGCUUAACACAUGCAAGUCGAGGGGCAGCAUAGAUUGUAGCAAUACAAUUGGUGGCGACCGGCGCACGGGUGCGUAACGCGUAUGCAACCUACCCGUCACAGGGGGAUAAUCCGGAGAAAUCUGGUCUAAUACCCCAUAACAUAUGGAUCGGCAUCGGUUCAUGUUGAAAUUUUCGGAGGUGACGGAUGGGCAUGCGUAGCAUUAGCUUGUUGGUGAGGUAACGGCUCACCAAGGCGACGAUGCUUAGGGGGACUUAGAGGUUUUCCCCCCACACUGGUACGGAGACACGUACCAGACUCCUACGGGAGGCAGCAGUGAGGAAUAUUGGUCAAUGGGCGCAAGCCUGAACCAGCCAUGCCGCGUGCAGGAUGACGGCUCUAUGAGUUGUAAACUGCUUUUGUACGAGGGUAAAGUGGGUUACGUGUAACCUUUUGAAAGCAUCGUACGAAUAAGGAUCGGCUAACUCCGUGCCAGCCGCCGCCGUAA
rnacentral:rRNA from 1 species